rnacentral:rRNA from 1 species
AAUGGCCUAACGGCUGAACCAGCAAUUUGGAAGAACGAAUAGCGAAAGCUAAUUACAUAUAAUUAUGUGAUAUUAACUUAGUUGAAUAAAGUUCUGAGUAGGUCUAGAUAAUGACUUAAUCUACUCAUGUGUCUUGACCAAAGUACGUGCCAGCAGUCGCGGUAAGACGUUAAAGACUAGUGUUAUUCAUCGUUAGCAGGUUUAAAGGGUACUUAGACUGCAAACCAAGCCGUAGAAGGGACUAGUUUGCUAGAGUUACUUGUGAAGGGGCUUGAAAGUACUGGUGGUGUAGAGAUAAAAUGCUAAUAUACCUUUUUUCAAUAGAAAAGUAAUGGCACUGGUAAAGGCGAAAGCAUCCCCUUAUGUGAUAACUGACGUUAAAGGACGAAGGCUUUGAGCCGCGAAUAGGAUUAGAUACCCUAGUAGUCAAAGGAGAGAAUUAUGAGUGCCAUAGAUUAGAAGUAUUUUGAUCUAUAAAUGAAAGUGCAAGCACUCCACCUUAUGAGUAAUGUGGCAACACCGAAAUUGAAAUCAUUAGACCGUUUCUGAAACCAGUAGUGAAGUAUGUUGUUUAAUUUGAUGAUCCGCAAAAAACCUUACCACAACUUGCAUAUACUUAUUUCGAUAUAUAUACAAGCGUUGCACGGCUGUCUUAAGUUAAUGUCGUGAGACUUUGAUUAGAUUCAUUAAAUUGACGUAAACCCUCGUUUUACUUUUAUGUAAAAUGGUUCACCGCUAUAUUGGAUAUGAUAAUAGGGAAUAAGACAAGUCAUCAUGGCCUGAAUGUUGUGGGCUAUAGACGUGCUGCUCAUUCCAUUACAAAGGGAUGUGAAAUUGUGAAAUUAAACUAAUCCUUAAAACUGGAAAAAUU